rnacentral:rRNA from 1 species
AACGAACGCUAGCGGCAUGCCUAACACAUGCAAGUCGAACGAGACCUUCGGGUCUAGUGGCGCACGGGUGCGUAACGCGUGGGAACCUGCCCUUAGGUUCGGAAUAACUCCCCGACAGGGGUGCUAAUACCGGAUAAUGUCUUCGGACCAAAGAUUUAUCGCCUUUGGAUGGGCCCGCGUUGGAUUAGCUUGUUGGUAGGGUAAAAGCCUACCAAGGCGACGAUCCAUAGCUGGUCUGAGAGGAUGAUCAGCCACACUGGGACUGGGACCCGGCCCAGACUCCUACGGGAGGCAGCAGUGGGGAAUAGUGGACAAUGGGGGAAAGCCUGAUCCAGCAAUGCCGGGUGAGUGAUGAAGGCCUGAGGGUUGUAAAGCUCUUUUACCCGGGAUGAUAAUGACAGUACCGGGAGAAUAAGCUCCGGCUAACUCCGUG